CUUACGCAUACCAGUUACAAAUAUUAAGUCAAAGAAACUUUGACCAAUAAUUUUUAACUAGUUUAGAAACAUUAGUUACAAAUAUUAAGGAAACUUUAAAAAAAAAAAACAAAGGAAACAAUUUCUCUUUCAAAUACAAACAAAAGACUUAAACUUUUUCUUAUUAAAAAAAAAUGACUUAAACUUUUUUCUUCGUUACCCAUCAAUCCAUCACACAUACUUCCUCUUACCUUCACUCUUAAUUUUUUUCCCCAUUUUUUUCACACAUAAAACCGCUCCUUUCCUCCUCUUCUCAAGUUCUCGAUCUCUCUCCCUUACUCUCUGAGCUUUCUUCGAUCUUCAUUGAAACAGCUUCUCUGAGCUUUCUCCUUCAAUUGAAGUAGCUCCUCCAUCAAAUAAGUUUAUCAGGACUCGAAAUUUGUUGCAUAUCAUGUGAAAUUUAUGGAGUUAAGCUUUCAAUUGUCAUGAUUGCAGCGAGUUAUGAGCUUUCUCCUCCAUUGAAGUAGCCUCUGAGCUUUUUCCUCUGCUGAAGCAAUUUCCUCUAUUGAAGCACCUUCUUAGGGUUCGAAGCACAAAUAGUUUGGUUCGCUGCUCAAAUUCCUUAGUUAAGUCGCUAAAUUCUGGACUAUGAAGAAUUAAUGAAGGAAUUUCAAGAGGCUAGACGCAUCAAAAUGCUCCAUCAGCCUAGCAAAGUAAUGGACAUGGAAUACGAACUCCGAGCAUUAAGGACUCAGCUCAUUGAGAAGUCUAAGCAUUCCAUUCUACUUCAGAAGGAGGCCCAUCAAUCCUGUAUUCGAGUAAGAAACUCCACGUCUGACUUUUAAAUUAUUGUUUCAUGCACUAACUUCUAGAUCAAGAGCAUAAAUAUGGUCAAUUAACAAAGUCAAGAGCAGACAUCCAUGGACCAAGAUGUUGCUUCGCAAGCCACAUUAUCUAAGAAGAGUUAGGGGGCCAUCAAAAGGAAUACAAUCAAGAUUAUUUGGCAAGAUUUGCAUACUAAAACGAUGUAGAAUUGGAUGAGAUUCGAGAACAAUGGGAUAAGUUUUUUAGACUUAAUUUUAUGUUGAAAUAUUAGUUAUCUUAUUAAUCGAUGUUAUGAUUAAUCGCAUUUAGCUUAAUAAAACAAUAUAACACAUUUCUAUAUAUCAACUUUAUUUAGCAUA